rnacentral:rRNA from 1 species
CCUACGGGAGGCAGCAGUGGGGAAUUUUGGACAAUGGGCGAAAGCCUGAUCCAGCAAUGCCGCGUGAGUGAAGAAGGCCUUCGGGUUGUAAAGCUCUUUUGUCAGGGAAGAAACGGUGAAAGCUAAUAUCUUUUGCUAAUGACGGUACCUGAAGAAUAAGCACCGGCUAACUACGUGCCAGCAGCCGCGGUAAUACGUAGGGUGCAAGCGUUAAUCGGAAUUACUGGGCGUAAAGCGUGCGCAGGCGGUUUUGUAAGUCUGAUGUGAAAUCCCCGGGCUCAACCUGGGAAUUGCAUUGGAGACUGCAAGGCUAGAAUCUGGCAGAGGGGGGUAGAAUUCCACGUGUAGCAGUGAAAUGCGUAGAUAUGUGGAGGAACACCGAUGGCGAAGGCAGCCCCCUGGGUCAAGAUUGACGCUCAUGCACGAAAGCGUGGGGAGCAAACAGGAUUAGAUACCCUGGUAGUCCACGCCCUAAACGAUGUCUACUAGUUGUCGGGUCUUAAUUGACUUGGUAACGCAGCUAACGCGUGAAGUAGACCGCCUGGGGAAGUCGGUCGCAAGAUUAAAACUUCAAAUUGAAUUGACGG